ensembl:lncRNA
CUUUGAAUACAAUAAGCCAUCCAUAUAUUAAGAAAAAAAGAAUAUAGCUUUGAAACAGAAACAAGUUGUAAUCAAUCCAUUUUUUUUCUACAUAAAAUAAACCUGAUUUCAAUUAAAACAACCUCUGGAGGUAGAUUGAAGUAGAGUAUAAUAAACGGGUAAAUGUAAGGCGUGGGAAAAGUUCAGACAUUCCUUCCAGCAUAUUGAAUCAAUUAAUAGCAUGUACAAGGAAACCCUGAUUAUUUGAAAGAGUGGAGAAAAAUGACUUGAUUCUUUACAAGUAGUACAGACUAUUAUUAGUAUUCCAGAUAGACUAUGUUCUAGGGAGUCCAUCAUAAGCUUUGAUCUGUCUGCAUCCACAGCUGGAAACUUUGCACCAGGCUCUGGAAGCAGCACGAUGUGACAACAGUCGCCUCCAUCAGAAAAAUCACCACAGCAUCCUUGAAUAUAAGACAGAAGAGAUGAGGAAGCAAGAUACAGUAUCCACGGGAGAGCAAAUGAUCCCUGAUGUAGUGAAAGAGAGGUCAGAAAUUAUGAAACUGGAUUGCAUGUUAUUCCAUGGCUAGCACUUCCAAGGUCUGAAAUGGUAAAUGGAAGAAUGGUUUCUUAAGAAGGGAUGCUUGGGUUCUUCAAAAUCAAAAAUUGAAGUUAUUCUUGAGGAGCGCAUAGCAAAACAGAAACAAACAACACUCUGAAUUCAAAGUUUUCUCCAGUACUGGACACAAGGCGACCUACAAUAAAUCAAAAAUAUAGCCUUGCACAGAAAACCCAUGAUAGGUGUCAGCUUCUCUUUGCUUGGGCUUUGGACACACUGUUGAGUGUAAAAAUCAAGUUAUACCUCUGUCAAAUCAUGCAAUCCAUAACAGAAAGAAGGAGAAAAGGUUUCAUUGCAAAAGGAAUUUCUUCAUCAGACUGUACACUGACAUGUACAUGCUAUGCAUGUAAGUAUGGAUUUAUAGUAUAUCCCAUUACUGGUUUGAACCAAGACAGAAUGAAUUAAAGAGUGAAUAGGAUACAUAGAUUUCUCUUGAGAAUACAGGGAUUUUGAUCCUUCUGUUUCCACAUAAUAUUACAAUAAGAAGCUUCUGUAACUUAUGGCAAUUGCAUUUUCAGUUCAUCCUAUGUGCUAAAAAAAUACAGCUCGUACUCUUAAUAAAUAGCUUUUCUGUGCUACUACCAGUUGUGUUGAUUGCACAAACUCUUUAAUUAGACACACACUUAGAUGAGAUACACAUGUUUUACAAGGUAAAAUUAGGUGACAUUUUAAACACAUUUCAGCUAACAAGAAGAACCAUGUGCAAUUGGGAAGCCAAGGAAAUUGUAUUUCAGGCAUUUCAACAAGGCUGUAACAAAGGAGCAGCAAUACAAAAUAAGUGAAUGAUUCUACUUGAUUCUUCUAUCCCCCCCCCCCCCCAGUCAUUUUAUCAGGGACGAAGAAUAUUUUACAAUAGUGCACGCAUGAAGGUUGUAUGCAUUCCCCAGCAUUAAAUUGUGGUAGAAAAUGAAAAACCUAAUAGCAUUUUGAUAUAUUCCAGUUAGGUUUUCCAUUAGGAGAAAAAGGUGAUAUGUUCACACCAUUUGUCAGGAAACGAAGAAAUGAAGAGAAUGUUGACAAUUUCAUUACACUCUGGUUAUGGGGUGAUCCGCAGUUACCUAUUACAAGAUAAAAAAAGCCUAUUCAGAAUAUUAUUAGUUGAAAACAUUACUGUUUAUAGUUACUUUAAGUAGUGCUGCAACUGCACAGUUGAUAUAAUGAUACAAUCCACAGAUUUCAAAAGAGAGAUUUCAUAUCACUUACAGCUUUAGCUCAUUUUUUGACUGGUAAGAAUGAUACAACAUCAAAACAAGUCCUGUACUGAUAAGACAAAGGGCUAUUUUUUUUAAAAAAAGAAAGUAACCGAUCGGUUAUUAAAAGUACCUCAGAGUGUUGCACAAUUUUUUUACCUUUAUUCAGAAAGACUGCAUUUCUGGCCAUUGGUUAAACUUCUUUAACUCUUUUGAAUCCUAACAACCCAGUUGUGUGCAGAAUUGCAGCCAAAUCCACACACACACACACCCCCACCCGCACAUGCAUGUACAUACACAUACUGGCUAUUUUAUUGACUGUACAAUUUCAACUAUUUUUUAAAUAAUAUUUCACUGGUGGCUGAUCAUUUCCAUUAACUAACUGCAUGGUCACAUUGGUUUGUUUGUUUUUCUUGUGUGCUUUCAAGUCAUUUCUGACUUAACGGAGACCCAAGGUAAACCUAUCAUGAGGUUUUCUUGGCAAGAUUUCUUUGGAGUGGGUUUGUGUUUGCCUUGACCUGAGAGAAUGUGAGUUGCUCAAGGUCACCAAGUGGGUCUUUAUGUCUGAGCAUGUCUUUCCAGGAUCAUAGUCCAACCCUCUACUAUAGAUAUCACAGGUAAUGCGUAUCUAUGAAGAAGUGAUUCUCUUUCAACUCUUUAUGGAUGCCUUUGAGGUAAGUGGGUACUGGAUAGCAGUGUUGAUGCAAACUUACCAGUCAAGCUUCUAUAGUAUAGUUGUUGUGUACAGCUAAUAACAUCCAGAGUUGGGAUACUACUACUACUACAACAACAACAACAACAACAACAACAACAACAACAACAACAACAAUCUUUUCUUAUAUUCUGCCCCCUCUCCCAAAGGACUUGGAUGGCUUACAACAAAUAAAUAUAAAACCAAGCAAGAAUAAAAUAAUACAUAAUGACAAUCAAAAAACACCACAACUAACUAAUAAUAUCAAAAUAAAAUACACAGAUUAAAUUUGGCAGGAUUUGAAACCCUCAUACUUAAUUGAAUGCAUUUUGGAUGCACAACUGAACGAACAAUCAAAUGCACAUCUACAGGUACGAUGGCAUCACUUUAGGGUUGCCCAAUUAAUCCCAUCCCACUCCUGAAAUUUCAAGGUGAAAACCUGAGAUCUGGGAAUCACACAUUGUAAUGUCACAAUGGGUAGCUCUGAUAAUGUUAUAAUGCAUAUUUUAAGAUAUUAAUACAUGCUACAUUCAUGUUAUAAAGUAUAUUGCAUUAAGAUAUCAAUUCAGGCUACAUUAAGCAUCAAUCACAUCUGCACAGUUUGCUAGUCUUUUUUUAAAAAAAACCAAAACAAAACAAAACAAACACCAUGUCU